rnacentral:lncRNA from 1 species
UUUCUGACUUCUGAGUCACAGCAAGAACCCUCCAGAAAUCCUCUCCCAGUGAAUGAUUAUGAGACACAAUCAUUUUGAAGCAGCCGCUGAAUAAGGGCGUGUGAAAGCAGACUGGAUCAGACCCCAGGAGACUAGAGUAUCUGGAAUGGAGGGAAAGACUACUCACUGACAGAGCCUCCACUGGAAUGCCCUGUGUGUCUCCAACUCAUCUUCGAGAUGGACAAGUAAGAAAAAGCUACCAUCAGCUAUCUGUAGUAGACCCAGUUGGUGGAAGAUUGAAUAUAUGGUAGCAGAAAUCUCCAUCGACCGUUCAUGGGAAACCAUUUCUGGUUUCAAAGAGGGAAGAGUAGGACCGGGAGGAAGGCUUUCUUCACAGAAACCAAAUCUCCCAAGCAAAUCUGAAUAGAUGGCUCCUUAUAUAAAUUGCUUCUCAUUUGGCAUUGCCUGUGACUAUUAGGCAAAAUAGACAACAAAGCCCCUCUUCGCCAUAUUUGUAAGCUUUCCAAUAAUGCUACACUGUGGUUGAUGCUGCCAUUUUUUCCCACUCGCUCCGAUUUCCCUCACUUCCAACCAAAGAAGCCUAUCUCUAUUCAAAAUAUUCCACAACAGGCAAUCAAGCCUGAUAUUUGCAUCUACUGGGGAACAAAACAGACAGUGGAUAACUGUGGGAAGCCAUGACGUGAUGGAGCAUCAGCAUAUUGUACUGGACACCCAGCUUCCAGCUCUGCAGCUUCAGGGUCCCAGGGCUCUACGUGAGGCUGGUCAGGCACACAGCACAGAGGGGAGCCCUGGGCUUGGCAGGACAAGACAGUUUACUCAGGGAGAGCUGAAGACUGCCUGCAUGUGCUCACCAGCCUGCCCAGGACGACUGCGGCUCCAUCUUCCUCGGUAGGGACUAAUGUCCCUGAAGUGGGAACAUCUAGAGAUGCUUUGGGCCAGAGAGAAAAGAAGUAAUAGAUAUAAGGCUGUGAUUUCUUCAGCAACCUCCUUCAGUCACAGAGGGUUCAGGGGGUUCUAAACAGGCUGUUCAGAACCAUCUCACUGUGAGUCACAGAUUCAACCCACCUUGUUCUCUGUUGUCACUUCUGCCAAAUUCGGGAGCACCCAAAGAGUCGUUCAAUCUCAGCCCAAGAUCUUUACACAAGAAGGGGAGUUUGUGGCUCUGAACUACAAAUACUUUGCAAGUAAUCUGAUUAUUUUCUUUCUGGAUUUAGGAGGCAUCCCAGUGGGGAGACAUUGCAAGUGAUUUUUCAAAUUUCAGCAGCCUCCAGGAUGGACCGUUUUUUAUGAACUUGCAGAAAGCAGCCAACACUGUCCAUUCUCACCAUCUCAACUGUGAGGCCAGGAGACUCAAAGGUCCACUGCUCAAGAUGUGUGCUCAAGAUGUCCAUAGUAAGAGGAACAACAAAAACUAUAAGAACAAAACCUCAGAAUUUGUACCCCAGAUUCACCUGCUGCAGGGGUUGGGGGAGACCCACAGACCCUAAACUGAAAAGAAGAUUAGAAACUGUGGGGAGCAUAAAUGAAGUAUGGAAAGGAAAUGGAUAAUUGUGUUACAGGAAAAACCAUCUCGGACUGCAUUCACUGAAUGUUUUCAAUCCCCAAUUCUAAAAUCGAUUCUCACAUUCAAAUUUUAGCAGAUUAGAGGAAAAAAAAAAAAAAGCCAGCAUUUUCUUUUAAUCUCAUUAUUCUUCUUUUUACUUUAAACUUUUUUAAAUGAAUUAGAUUUUUUAUUAGAGUAUAGCUGAUUUCCAGUGUCAAUUUCUGCUGUAUACAUAGUGACCCAGUUAUAUAUACAUAUAUAUACAUUCUUUUUCUCAUAUCAUCUACCAUCAUGUUCUAUGCCCAAUCUUUUUUCUUUAAACUUUUAAUAAAAUUCAAAUUAUGAAAA